UACAGAGGUCUCAAGCGUUGUUCGGAUUCAUUGGGCGUAAAGGGUGCGUAGGCGGCGCGGUAAGUCGGGUGUGAAAUCUCGGAGCUUAACUCCGAAACUGCAUUCGAUACUGCCGUGCUUGAGGACUGGAGAGGAGACUGGAAUUUACGGUGUAGCGGUGAAAUGCGUAGAUAUCGUAAGGAACGCCGGUGGCGAAAGCGACGUGCUGGCCCUCAACUGACGCUGAGGCGCGAAAGCCAGGGGAGCAAACGGG
rnacentral:rRNA from 1 species